rnacentral:lncRNA from 1 species
UACACUGCAUCAGUAUUUGCUUGAAGUCCAGAAACCUUAGAGAAUUUUUGGAGAGUCUGUUUCAGUAAGCUGACAGACUGAACAUCUGUCUUACAGAACAUAAGAAGAUCAUCCGCGAAGCAAACAUGUGCUACACCCAACCUCUUGCAUCUGUGAUGGAAUUUGAACUCUUUCCUCAUCAUCAUUUGCAUAAAUUCUCUAUGUAGAUACUCCAUGGCCAGAACAAAGAGGUAUGGAGAUAUCGGGUCGCCUUGCCGUAAGCCUCUUUUUCCUUUAAAUGGUGCAGUGAGGCCACCAUUGAAGUUGAGAGAGUAGGUAUGAGAGGAUAUGCACUCCAUAACCCACCCAAUAAAUUUAUAAGGGAAGCCAAAAUCCCGCAAUAGUCUUUUAAGGAAACCCAUUCAACUGAGUCGUAAUCCUUCUUUAAAUCCACCUUAAGCAGUAGGUAACAGAGGAUAUGCAUUCCAUACUCCACGCAAUGAAUUUAUGAGGGAGGCCCAAAUCCUGCAGCAGUCUUUUAAGGAAAACCAUUAUACUGAGUCGUAUGCCUUCUUUAAAUCCACCUUAAGCACACAUCUAGGAGAAAUGCCCUUCCUGGAAUAGCCUUUGAACAGUUCUUGUGUGAAUAAGAUGUU